UAGGGAAUCUUCCACAAUGGGCGAAAGCCUGAUGGAGCAACGCCGCGUGUGUGAUGAAGGCUUUCGGGUCGUAAAGCACUGUUGUAUGGGAAGAACAGCUAGAAUAGGAAAUGAUUUUAGUUUGACGGUACCAUACCAGAAAGGGACGGCUAAAUACGUACCA
rnacentral:rRNA from 1 species